rnacentral:rRNA from 1 species
CCUACGGGUGGCAGCAGUGGGGAAUAUUGCACAAUGGGGGAAACCCUGAUGCAGCGACGCCGCGUGAGUGAAGAAGUAUUUCGGUAUGUAAAGCUCUAUCAGCAGGGAAGAAAAUGACGGUACUUGAUUAAGAAGCCCCGGCUAACUACGUGCCAGCAGCCGCGGUAAUACGUAGGGGGCAAGCGUAAUACGGAUUUACUGGGUGUAAAGGGAGCGUAGACGGCAGCACAAGUCUGGCGGUAAAUGCCGGGGCUUAACCCCGGAACUGCUGUGGAAACUGUGCAGCUAGAGUGCAGGAGAGGUAAGUGGAAUUCCUAGUGGAGCGGUGAAAUGCGUAGAUAUUAGGAGGAACACCAAUGGCGAAGGCGGCGUACUGGACUCUAACUGACGUUGAGGCUCGAAAGCGUGGGUAUCAAACAGGAUUAGAUACCCGAGUAGUC